AAUGCCACACAUAGUGGUUUUAACAUGUCAGAUGAGUGGAUUGUCUCUGGCCUGUGGCCAUCCAAAAGGCAAGAAAGGGCCGUAUUUAUAGGAAUAGGAACAGGAGAGGAGGCUAGAGAAGUCCUUUGGUCUUUCCCUGCCCUCCUCCCCAUGCUGUGUGACCAGCGAAUGAAAAUCCUGCAGGCAUGUGACAUAACACCUGCUUAGCCUAACCUGCACCUCCUUUCCAUCCUGUACCAGACUCGCAACGAACAGGGUUAGCACGAGGCCACCGGACUCCCUGCCAAGCGAACUAAACUCUCUCCAAGUACUGUUGCUCACUCACAAGUCUCUUCCACCACCGGUUGACCAAUCACGUGACUUGACUGACUCACCAGCUCGGCGCUCCACCAAUCAGGCCUUUCUAGUGAGCCAGAGCAGACUCUCUCCAGGGAUUGGAUAAUGCUUGAACCCCCUGCCCCCCUUUCCCACCUGUGUCCAGCCUGUAAGCUGUGUUUGAGUGUGUAAGUGUGUGUCUGAGUGUGUGUGUGUGUGUCUGGCCAGACUGUUAUAUUCACUAUUCAGGAUUGCUAAGUCUGCUGCUUAUCAUAACUUGCCUUUUUAGAGAAAGUGCUUGUCAGUUGGGUAAAGUCAAGCUAAGCUGUGGAUUUAGAGGAGACCGGAGUCUUCAGUUAAGGUUUUUUCCUAUCUGUCAGAGAGGGGGGGCAAAGCCAAAUUGCUAGGGGUCAGCAGGGACAAACCACCGUCCUCCCCCCUCCAUGUUUUUGUAUCACUGUGCUAUAUUGCAAUCCUAUACACAAGCCCAAGUAUAUGAAUAUACCAGUAUACAGUAUCAUUUUGUUUUCUAAGUAUGUGAAGCUAUGGAGGACGUAGAUCUAACACUGUACCUAGGUCACAGAUCACUAUGUAUGGGGCGUUAUGCUUUUGCUCAUAACUCCGUGUAAAAUGAAGAAUUAUUAUUUAGUCCUUUUUUCCAUUUUUUUAUUGUGUGAAUAUUGACAUUGUGUAUUUUCUUUGGUUUGCCACAAAACGACGUUUAUACCACAGUAUAUACAGUAUUAAAUUAAGCAGUUUUUUUUAGUUUUUGUUUUUUUGAGCUCAAACUGGAUUUUUGGUGUGUCAAAUUUCUAACAGCUGACAACCUGACAGUCUUCAACUCUGCCAACAUCCAAUUCUAAAACCAUUUUUUUUUUUUUUUUUUAAUCCAACCACAACGUUUUAAUAUGCCCUGUUUUAUAAAUCUGAUUCAACUCAAUCCGUUUCAAGAAAACCCUCAGCAAAUGUUUGGAUAUUAACGUUUUACACACACACACACACACAUACAUACAUACUCACACACACACACACACACCAGUGGUUAUUCAAGUAGAGCACACAAAACACUUAAAUCUUGGGGAUAUUCUAGCAGCUUUUGCACACCUUUCAUUACAAGUAGUAGGUUGUCACUCCAUUAUGUCCAGUUAAUCUGGUUUUAAGGUGCAUAACAAAGGUUUUUAAAUUUGUUUUUCUUAACCAAGCCUAUUCUUGCAGCAGUUGCCUCUUGUUUGUGAACAGUAUCAAGUCCGUAGUUACCAUCUGUCCAUUCAAUGCAUUCAUUUCCAGUUAGCUGUAACUGUGAAACCUACUCAAACUUAAUUCUAAUAUCAGGUUAACAUCGCAUACCGUAGUCCCAUUGACAAUGCUGACUUAGUGUAGGUGCAGGUGAAACGGACUGUGUUGGUUGUGUUUUAUGUUUGGGGUGAAGUCAUCAUAAGCUGAAGUCAAAUAGACAUUUCAGGGAAAGAAAAACAAAUGAGCGGAAAUGAACCGUGAUAUUCUUUUCAGAUAACCCCACUUUGCUUUGCUUCGUCCUGUCUGUACGGCUUCUGGAUCUACAUUGUAUCCUGUUCAGGUAUUUUUGUACAAAUAAGGGACUGAUAUAUUCUCUGUUUAUUGGAAAUUAGAAUAAAAGACAACAUUGCUAUAAACCAAAAAUGGCUUUCCUGGUGCUGUGUUAUACCCCCCCCUCCCAAAAACUUGAAAAUGAGUUUGAGGAU